rnacentral:rRNA from 1 species
AAGCAUUGUUAAUAAGGUAUCUUAUCCUGAAUACAUAGGGGUAAGAAGCGAACUCGGGGAACUGAAACAUCUAAGUACCCGAAGGAAAGGACAUCAACCGAGACUCCGCAAGUAGUGGCGAGCGAACGCGGACCAGGCCAGUGGCAAUGAGGAAUAAAGCGGAACAAGUUGGAAAGCUUGGCCAUAGUGGGUGACAGCCCCGUACGCGUAGAACACUCAUUGUCCUAGAGUAGGGCGGGACACGUGAAAUCCUGUUCGAACAUGGGGAGACCACUCUCCAAGCCUAAGUACUCGUGCAUGACCGAUAGCGAACAAGUACCGUGAGGGAAAGGUGAAAAGCACCCCGACAAGGGGAGUGAAAUAGAACCUGAAACCGGAUGCCUACAAACAGUAGGAGGGCGAAAGCCUGACUGCGUACCUUUUGUAUAAUGGGUCAACGACUUAGUGUAACUAGCAAGCUUAAGCCGGUAGGUGUAGGCGCAGCGAAAGCGAGUGUUAAUAGCGCGAUUGAGUUAGUUGCAUUAGACCCGAAACCGAGUGAUCUAGCCAUGAGCAGGUUGAAGGUUGGGUAACACCAACUGGAGGACCGAACCCGCAUCUGUUGCAAUAGAUUGGGAUGACUUGUGGUUAGGGGUGAAAGGCCAAUCAAACUCGGAAAUAGCUGGUUUUCCGCGAAAACUAUUUAGGUAGUGCGUCGAUCGAAUACCUCAGGGGGUAGAGCACUGGAUGGGCUAUGGGGACUCACCGUCUUACUGAUCCUAACCAAACUCCGAAUACCUGAGAGUACUAAUCGGCAGACACACGGCGGGUGCUAACGUCCGUCGUGAAGAGGGCAACAACCCUGACCUCCAGCUAAGGUCCCCAAGUCAUGGCUAAGUGGGAAAGGAUGUGAGGAUCCCAAAACAACCAGGAUGUUGGCUUAGAAGCAGCCAUCAUUUAAAGAAAGCGUAACAGCUCACUGGUCUAAAUAAGGGUCUUUGCGCCGAAAAUGUAACGGGGCUAAAGCCAUGCACCGAAGCUGAGGAUGUGCAGUAAUGCACGUGGUAGCGGAGCGUUCCGUAAGCCUGUGAAGGGACAGUCGUGAGACAUCCUGGAGGUAUCGGAAGUGCGAAUGUUGACAUGAGUAACGAUAAAGGGGGUGAGAGACCCCCUCGCCGAAAGACCAAGGGUUCCUGCUUAAAGUUAAUCUGAGCAGGGUUAGCCGGCCCCUAAGGCGAGGCAGAAAUGCGUAGUCGAUGGGAACCACGUUAAUAUUCGUGGGCCUGGUGGUAGUGACGGAUCACACAAAUUGUACAGUCUUACUGGAUUGAUUGUGCAGUGGAGUGGUUCCAGGCAAUAGCUCCACCGUAUAGACCGUACCCGAAACCGACACAGGUGGUCAGGUAGAGUAUACCAAGGCGCUUGAGAGAACUAUGUUGAAGGAACUCGGCAAAUUGCACGCGUAACUUCGGAAGAAGCGUGACCCCUUUUUACGCAAGUGGAGAGGGGUGGCACAGACCAGGGGGUAGCGACUGUUUAUCAAAAACACAGGGCUCUGCGAAGUCGCAAGACGACGUAUAGGGUCUGACGCCUGCCCGGUGCUGGAAGGUUAAGAGGAGAGGUGCAAGCUUUGAAUCGAAGCCCCAGUAAACGGCGGCCGUAAUUAUAACGGUCCUAAGGUAGCGAAAUUCCUUGUCGGGUAAGUUCCGACCUGCACGAAUGGCGUAACGAUUCCCCCGCUGUCUCCAACAUAGACUCAGUGAAAUUGAAUUCCCCGUGAAGAUGCGGGGUUCCUGCGGUCAGACAGAAAGACCCCGUGCACCUUUACUAUAGCUUUACACUGGCAUUCGUGUCGGCAUGUGUAGGAUAGGUGGUAGGCUUUGAAGCUUGGACGCCAGUUCGAGUGGAGCCAUCCUUGAAAUACCACCCUUAUCGUCAUGGAUGUCUAACCGCGGUCCGUUAUCCGGAUCCGGGACAGUGUAUGGUGGGUAGUUUGACUGGGGCGGUCGCCUCCGAAAGAGUAACGGAGGCGCGCGAUGGUGGGCUCAGACCGGUCGGAAAUCGGUCGUCGAGUGCAAUGGCAUAAGCCCGCCUGACUGCGAGACUGACAAGUCGAGCAGAGACGAAAGUCGGUCAUAGUGAUCCGGUGGUCCCGCGUGGAAGGGCCAUCGCUCAACGGAUAAAAGGUACGCCGGGGAUAACAGGCUGAUGACCCCCAAGAGUCCAUAUCGACGGGGUUGUUUGGCACCUCGAUGUCGGCUCAUCGCAUCCUGGGGCUGGAGCAGUCCCAAGG